rnacentral:tRNA from 1 species
GCCUUCGUGGUGUAGUGGUCAACACGCUCGACGCAUAUUCGAGAGGUCCGUGGUUCGAGUCUCUGUGAACACG